GGGGAUUUAGCUCAGUGGUAGAGCACUUGCCUAGCAAGCACAAGGCCCUGGGUUCAGUUCCCAGCUCCG
rfam:Rattus norvegicus chromosome 1, whole genome shotgun sequence.